rnacentral:rRNA from 1 species
AGUGAACGCUGGCGGUAGGCCUAACACAUGCAAGUCGAACGGCAGCACAGUAAGUGCUUGCUCUUACGGGUGGCGAGUAGCGGACGGGGGAGGAAUACAUCGGAAUCUACUUUUUCGUGGGGGAGAACGUAGGGAAAGUAACGGUAAUACAUCAUACGACCUACGGGUGAAAGCAGGGGAUCUUCGGAAAUUGCGCGAUUGAAGGUGCCGAUGUCGGAUUAGCUAGUUAGCGGGGUAAUGGCCCACCAAGGCGACGAUGCGUAGCUGGGCAGAGAGGAUGAUCAGCCACAGUGGAACUGAGACACGGUCACGACUCCGACGGGAGGCAGCAGUGGCGAAUAUGGGACAAUGGGCGCAAGCCUGAUCCAGCCAUACCGCGUGGGUGAAGAAGGCCUUCGGGUUGUAAAUCCCUUUUGUUGGGAAAGAAAAGCAGCAGGUUAAGACCCCGCUGUUCUGACGGUACCCAAAGAAGAAGCACCGGCUAACUUCGUG